rnacentral:rRNA from 1 species
GUACUCGAGCGGCGAACGGGUGAGUAACACGUGAGCAACCUGCCCUAGGCUUUGGGAUAACCCUCGGAAACGGGGGCUAAUACCGAAUAGGACCACCGGUCGCAUGGUUGGUGGUGGAAAGUUUUUCGGCCUGGGAUGGGCUCGCGGCCUAUCAGCUUGUUGGUGGGGUGAUGGCCUACCAAGGCGACGACGGGUAGCCGGCCUGAGAGGGCGACCGGCCACACUGGGACUGAGACACGGCCCAGACUCCUACGGGAGGCAGCAGUGGGGAAUAUUGCACAAUGGGCGGAAGCCUGAUGCAGCGACGCCGCGUGAGGGAUGACGGCCUUCGGGUUGUAAACCUCUUUCAGCAGGGACGAAGCGUAAGUGACGGUACCUGCAGAAGAAGCACCGGCCAACUACGUGCCAGCAGCCGCGGUAAGACGUAGGGUGCGAGCGUUGUCCGGAUUUAUUGGGCGUAAAGAGCUCGUAGGCGGCUUGUCGCGUCGACUGUGAAAACCCGCAGCUCAACUGCGGGCCUGCAGUCGAUACGGGCAGGCUAGAGUUCGGUAGGGGAGACUGGAAUUCCUGGUGUAGCGGUGAAAUGCGCAGAUAUCAGGAGGAACACCGGUGGCGAAGGCGGGUCUCUGGGCCGAUACUGACGCUGAGGAGCGAAAGCGUGGGGAGCGAACAGGAUUAGAUACCCUGGUAGUCCACGCUGUAAACGUUGGGCGCUAGGUGUG